rnacentral:rRNA from 1 species
GGUCCAGACUCCUACGGGAGGCAGCAGUAGGGAAUCUUUCACAAUGGGCGAAAGCCUGAUGGAGCAACGCCGCGUGCAGGAUGAAGGCCUUCGGGUUGUAAACUUCUUUUCUCAGGGACGAAGAAAGUGACGGUACCUGAGGAAUAAGCCACGGCUAACUACGUGCCAGCAGCCGCGGUAAUACGUAGGUGGCAAGCGUUAUCCGGAUUUAUUGGGUGUAAAGGGCGUGUAGGCGGGAGCGCAAGUCAGAUGUGAAAACUCAGGGCUCAACCCUGAGCCUGCAUUUGAAACUGUGUUUCUUGAGUGCUGGAGAGGCAAUCGGAAUUCCGUGUGUAGCGGUGAAAUGCGUAGAUAUACGGAGGAACACCAGUGGCGAAGGCGGAUUGCUGGACAGUAACUGACGCUGAGGCGCGAAAGCGUGGGGAGCAAACAGGAUUAGAUACCCUAGUA